AAAAUGCGAUACGUGGUGUGAAUUGCAGGAUCCCGUGAACCAUCGAGUUUUUGAACGCAAGUUGCGCCCGAAGCCUUUAGGCCGAGGGCACGUCUGCCUGGGCGUCACGCACCGUUGCCCUCCAAACCUCCGCAGUCCUUUAGUGGGAUUGUUGAGAUGUGCGGGGGUCGUAAAGUGGCUUCCCGUCGGCUUUGUCCCGCGGUUGGCCUAAAAAUGUAUCCCGUCGGUGGUUAUCGAUAGAUUUCGUUACCCCGCCGUGCGCUCCCGUGUUGCGAAGGAUGUCACCAGCAAACCCGAUGUCUCGCUCUGUGAAGAGCGUAGCUUACAAUGCGACCCCAGGUCAGGCGGGGCUAACCGCUGAAUUUAA
rnacentral:misc_RNA from 1 species